AGCGAACGCUGGCGGCAUGCUUAACACAUGCAAGUCGCACGGGCAGCAAUGUCAUUGGCGUACGGGUAAGUACCGCGUAGGAACGAGUCCCUAGGUGGGGGACAACCAGGGGGGACUGGCGCUAAGACAGCGUAUGUACUGACGCCCACAGCCGUGGGGAGCAUUUGGAGCGGCCUGCGUCCGAUUAGUUAGUUGGUGGGGUAAAGGGCUACAAAGCCUGGGAUCGGUAGCUGGUCUGAGAGGACGAGCAGCCACACUGGUACUGAGACACGGCCCAGACUCCUACGGGAGGCAGCAGUGGGGAAUAUUGGACAAUGGGCGAAAGCCUGAUCCAGCAAUGCCGCGUGGGUGAAGAAGGUCUUCGGAUCGGAAAGCACUUUCGACGGGGACGAUGAUGACGGUACCCGUAGAAGAAGCCCCGGCUAACUUCGUG
rnacentral:rRNA from 1 species